rnacentral:tRNA from 1 species
UAUAAUAUGGUGUACGGUGCACACAGGCCUUUGAAUCCUGAAGACAAAGUUCAACUCUUUCCAUUAUAA